AGAGAGAGAGAGAAGAGAGACUCCAGUCGGCUCUCUUGGGAAGUAACAUCCAAUCUACCGGCUACUACCACCUGAUUAAAUCAUAUUCUUUUGGACUAUCGAUCCGUAUUGCUCAGUAAAGGAUACUACUUUAUUAACGAACAGAUUUUUUUUGCAGCAUCCUCUCCUCCGGCACGAGGACUAACUGGCCUUUUAUGUGCCAGAUUAAAAUGGUAACGAUAACGCAGCUAACGUCUCUCUGCGCUCAUUCAUAACUUGUGACAAGUCGUCUUGUGGCUCGGAUGUGCGACACAGAGGAGGGCAGGUCAGGCACGCGGACGCGGUGUCCCUUCAAGAGAGAGAAAAGCUGAACAGGCUCGAGCUGCGGGAGGAAUACAAAUUCUACUUGUGAAAGAAGGAAAAAAAAAAAAAAACGUCCGACAAGAAGAAUGAGACAAGCUGCCGGCGUCGAGCCUUAAAAGCCGAAGAAGAUUUUAGUGUUCUUUGUCGGAAGAGGAUUCCGAGAACCCCCGUGUUUGUGUGUGACCCGCGACUAGAAACGGAGGGAUGACAGUCAAGCUGGACUUUGAGGAGUGUUUAAAAGACUCCCCGCGCUUCAGAGCUGAAAUCGAAGUGGUACAAAACGAUGUGUGUGAACUCGAGACCCGAUUAGAAAAGCUCGUGAAACAAUGCCAGGCCAUGCUGGAGGCAGGCCGAGUCUACUGCCAGACCAGCAAGAGCUUCGUCAACGGCCUCCGGGAUCUGGGACAGCACUGCUCCGGGGACAAGACGAUGGAGGAGUGUUUGGACAAAUUUUCCAAAAAGCUGUCUAUCGUCUUGGAGGCACAGGUGGAUGUGAUUGAAACCACACAGAAGUCAGUCAAGACGAAGCUGCAGAACUUUGUCAAAGAGGAUGUGCGUCGGUUCAAGGACGUGCGCAGGGGGUUUGAGCGUGGCAGUGAGUGCCUGGAGGGGGCGCUGGUGAGGAACGCUCAGGCCCCACGGGGGAAACAACACGAAGUGGAGGAGGCAAGCAAUGCUCUUCUAAACGCACGUAAGACCUUUCGGUCUGAGGCCCUGGAUUACGUCCUGGAGAUUAAUGUCAUUGAGGCCAAGAAGAAGACAGACAUUCUGAUGGCAAUGUUGUCACUGAUGGAGGCCCAGGCUCAGCUCUUCCAACAUGGCCACCAGUCUUUCUCAGAACUGGAGGAAUAUCGACAGAAACUGAAUGAAGAGCACACUCAGUUUGUCCUAAACUCUGCCCGGGAGAAGAGGGACAUGGAGCAAAGACAUGCUGCAAUUAAGAAAAAGGACGUGUCCUAUGAUGACUCCAUCAUGGAUUUCAACGCUGAUGCAGCCAACGGAAUCGCCAUGGAGGGAUACCUUUAUAAGAGAGCCAGCAACGCUUUCAAGACCUGGAGCAGGCGUUGGUUCUCGAUUCAAAAAAAUCAGCUGGUGUAUCAGAAGAAAUUUAAGGACCAGCCCACGGUCGUGGUGGAGGACUUGCGUCUUUGCACAGUCAAGCCCAGCAGUGAAAACGAGAGACGAUUCUGCUUUGAAGUGGUCUCCCCGUCAAAGUGUUGUUUGUUACAGGCAGACUCGGAAAGGCAGCAGAAGGCGUGGAUAAGUGCCGUCCAAAACAGCAUCGCCUCAGCCUUUCAGGAGCACAGAGAGGACCCACACAGCCCAAGACAGCGCCUCAGCUCGGUGUCGGCGAGCAGUUUGGGAGGAGGGGGAGGAGUGGAUCAGGAGAACAAGGGCUGCAAGGCGCUGGAGGAGGUCCAGGCAAUCCCAGGGAACAAGCAGUGCUGCGACUGCGGGGAGCCCGGUCCUGAUUGGGCCUCCAUCAACCUGGGCAUCACGCUUUGCAUCACAUGCUCAGGAAUACACAGGAGCCUGGGAGUCCAUUUCUCCAAAGUACGCUCGCUCACUCUCGACUCCUGGGAGCCAGAGCUCAUUAAGUUGAUGUGUGAAUUAGGAAACACAGUAAUCAACAGGAUCUACGAGGCCCGGAUUGAUGAGAUCACCAUCAAAAAGCCCCACCCCUCCAGUCCCAGAGGAGACAAGGAGUCGUGGAUCCGAUCAAAGUACGUUGAAAAGAAGUUCAUCCAAAAGCUGCCCGGCACCGGCAACACCCUGCUGAGGCGAUCCAGCGCCAAAAGGAACCGAGCGGCCACGCAGGACCGGACCGUACAGCGGCCGCCGCUCAAACCCAAACCGAACCGAGCCACUCUGCCUCGGGUCACAGGGCUGAGCCCCAGUGACCUCGUCCAAAAGAACAAUACACACAAAGACGUGGAAGAGGAUGAAGAGGAUCUGAGCGGCCUUCACCCCGGCGCGCUGCUGUACCGCUCAGCGGCCCUGCAGAACUUCCCUGUCAUGGCCGACGCUUUGGCCCACGGGGCCGACGUCAACUGGGUCAACGUUGCCGAGGAGUCCAGCACGCCGCUGAUACAGGCCGUCUCAGCGAAUGCCCUGGCAGCCUGUGAGUUCCUGCUGCAGAACGGCGCUAACGUCAACCAGGCAGACAGCAACGGGAGAGGGCCGCUUCACCACGCCACCAUCCUGGGUCACACCGGGUUGGUUUGUCUCUUCUUGAAGCGAGGCGCAGACUACAACGCCAGAGACAACAACCAGAAAGACCCCAUAACUAUUGCCGUGGACAAUGCCAACGCUGACAUCGUCACUUUGCUGCGGAUCGCCAAAAUGAACAAGGAGAUGCGGGAGAUGGACGGAGCGUUUGGCCAAUCAGGUCAAUCGGGGGGGCAGGGAUCUGGAGGUUUAUUGAGUGGGAUAGGAGGUGGGCGGGCCCACGGCAGGAAGAGCCUCCAGUCUAUAAAGAACCACAUAAGUGGCUGGGCUCUGGGGGGGCAAAAUGAUUAGUGGGGAUAGAAAUCAGCCCAGGACAAGAGACAGGCAGUGAGACUGGAAUGAGCGUGUUUUUGGUUAAGUAUCAAGUUGUUAAGUAUCAGAAAUCACUGGUUUUGCAAUAUCAUGUGGUGUUUAUCUGCAGUAUCUGCAGAGAAAGUGUCCUGAAAUUGCCAUAAUUAAGAAAGCAUAAAAUCCAAUUCUUGUAAACCAAGAACGAGCCAGAACACAGGGUACGACAGAGGCUCAAGGACAUAAGUGAGACAGAACACAUUUAUUAUAUCGGUGAAGACAGGAAAAUGCCUUUGUGGGAAAGUAACAGGAGUCCACAUUGCACUUUGAAUUACAAACGCACAUCCUCCUGCACUUUGAAGCCCACAAAAUCUCUGAAUACCGUGUCAAUAGAGAGUGCUGCGUGUGAGUGUUUCCAAUAUUGUACAUCUGAGGUUUAAGAAAAUGUAUAUACACUAGACCUAAAUCAGGCCUAUUCUUUCUGAUAUUGUAUAUUGGGGAUAUUUUAUAUACAGGAUGUACAAUGUUCUGGCUUUAUAAGAGAUUUUUUUUUUUUUAUUGUGCAUCUCCAUGUGUACUGGACUUUUUUAGUCUAGUUAUGUAAGCUAAAUUCAAUGCCGGGUUUGGUUCUCAAGGACAGUUUUAUCCUGCUAUUCUGUGAAUAGUUUGAAAUCUGUUAUAUAUAUUUUGUAUUUAUCAGAAUUCCAUGAGCUCUGUGCUGCAGCUCUUGAGCUUAACAAGGGUUUCGUUUGCAUUUUGUCAUUUGGCUCCUUUUCAAGCUGCAAAGUCCAUUCUUUCAUGACUGUCCUUUAGUGGCUAUCAAAGCUUUUUGUUAAGUUUCUUGUGUCAGCCGUAUUCCAUCACGGUUUCCCUCAUAAAGGAAUGGAAACGUGAUGCUUUUGUCUGCUCGAAACGACUGCUGGUCAGUAUUUGACGUGCUGUGCUUUAUCACUGUGUGUGUCUUUGUUGUGUGCACUCAUGUGCCUUUGCCUUCUGCCCGCUGAGAUGUCCAGCUGGUCUCAACUGCUUGUGCAGUGUGCCACCUACUGCACACUAAGAGGUGAUGAAACCUACCAGGACAUCUUCAGAGACUUUUCACACAUGGCCUCAAACAACCCUGAGAAGCUCAAACGCCGCAGUGCAGACCCCAAAUCUUAACCAGCUGUUGCCUCCUCUUCACACAGCUGUACAAUGUCACAUUUCACACUUGCAUACUUUCAAACGCAUAUAUAGAACGUGCUAGUAUCCAACUCACAGACGUGCAGACACAUUUUCCUUGGCUACCUGCCACAUGUUCAUAGCUCAGCUGGUGUUGACUUCAGAGGGGAUGAACGCUCCGAACAGUGAAUUCAUUGUGCGAACACGUCAGACCAGAACAAUUGUGCCAAGUGAGAACACUGGAGCAGCUUUUUGAGACCAGCAGGAGGUGUCUUUAUGCGUAGCGGAGGGUAACGCCAUCAUUCUGCCAAGAUUUCUUAAUUAAAUCUGGUAAAUCCCGUUUUUUUUAUUUUUGUUUUUUUUAACUAAAAGGGCAGUGUUUUUAUGUUCCUCUGUUAUUUCUAUUGAAUUGUUGGUUACACUUGAAUGUAUCUACAUAAGAGUGACAUGACACUGUCAUGAACGUGUCAUAAACAUUAUAAACAAGUCAUAAACGUUUCUGACAUAACUCUUCUUUUAGUAAGUGUCACUCGGUUUUUGUCAUGACAAGUUAGGGUUAGGGUUCAUGUGUCUUCACUGUCAUGAUCGUCUCAUGUCACUCUGAUGUCACUCUUAUGUAGAUACCUUCAAGUAGAGUGUUACCGAAUUGUUACAUGAAAAAGUCAGUGUUUGUUGGAAAUGGACAUAAUCAUUGCAAAGAGGAAAACCUUAUGUCAAAUGUCUUCCAUCGAAUUGUAUAGAUUUUUAAAUGUGGGACAUUUUUAGACACUGUUCACAUGUCUAUUUUGUUAAAACUGUGCAAGGUACUUAAGAUUUGUUUUAUGAUCAAAUAAACUGUGAUACAAAACACG